UAUCACUAAGCGGAGGAAAAGAAACCAACAGGGAUUGCCCCAGUAACGGCGAGUGAAGCGGCAACAGCUCAGAUUUGAAAUCUGGCCCCCAGGGCCCGAGUUGUAAUCUGUAGAGGAUGUUUCUGGCAAGGCGCCGUCCGAGUUCCCUGGAACGGGACGCCGGAGAGGGUGAGAGCCCCGUACAGGCGGACGCCGAGCCUCUGUGAACCUCCUUCGACGAGUCGAGUAGUUUGGGAAUCCUGCUCAAAGCGGGAGGUAAAUUUCUUCUAAAGCUAAAUAUAGGCCAGAGACCGAUAGCGCACAAGUAGAGUGAUCGAAAGAUGAAAAGCACUUUGAAAAGAGGGUUAAAAAGCACGUGAAAUUGUUGAAAGGGAAGCGCCUGUGACCAGACUCGCGCCCGGCGGAUCAUCCGGCGUUCUCGCCGGUGCACUCCGCCGGGCUCGGGCCAGCAUCGGUUCUGGCGGGGGGAUAAAGGCGGCGGGGAUGUGGCUCCCCCGGGAGUGUUAUAGCCCGCCGCUCAAUGCCCCCGCCGGGACCGAGGACCGCGCGUUUGCAAGGAUGCUGGCGUAAUGNCCACCAGCGACCCGUCUUGAAACACGGACCAAGGAGUCAAGCAUUAGGGCGAGUGUUUGGGUGUAAAACCCGCACGCGAAAUGAAAGUGAACGCAGGUGGGAGCCUCGGCGCACCAUCGACCGAUCCUGAUGUCCUCGGAUGGAUUUGAGUAAGAGCCUUAACGCUUGGACCCGAAAGAUGGUGAACUAUGCUUGUGUAGGGUGAAGCCAGAGGAAACUCUGGUGGAGGCUCGCAGCGGUUCUGACGUNCAAAUCGAUCGUCAAACAUGAGCAUGGGGGCGAAAGACUAAUCGAACCAUCUAGUANCUGUUA
rnacentral:rRNA from 1 species